GUCUAUGGCUAUGCUUCCCUGAACAAGCCCGAUCCCAUCUGAUCUUGGAAGCUAAGCAGGGUCAGGUUUGGUUAGCACUUGGAUGGGAGACCACCUAGGAAGACUAGGUGCUGUAGGUG
rfam:Pteropus alecto contig16760, whole genome shotgun sequence.